rnacentral:rRNA from 1 species
GUGGAUUAGAUACCCUGGUAGUCCACGCCGUAAACGAUGGGCGCUAGGUGUGGGAGGUGUCGACUCCUUCCGUGCCGCAGCUAACGCAUUAAGCGCCCCGCCUGGGGAGUACGGCCGCAAGGCUAAAACUCAAAGGAAUUGACGGGGGCCCGCACAAGCAGCGGAGCAUGUGGUUUAAUUGGAUGCAACGCCAAGAACCUUACCAAGGCUUGACAUGGUCGGGAAAGCUGGAGAAAUUCAGCCCUCCUUCGGGACUCGAUCACAGGUGGUGCAUGUUUGUCGUCAACU